rnacentral:tRNA from 3 species
GACAGGAUGGCCGAGUGGUUAAGGCGACAGUUUUGAAAGCUGUUUCACUUUGUGAGCGUGAGUUCAAACCUCACUCCUGUCG